rnacentral:rRNA from 1 species
GACGAACGCUGGCGGCGUGCUUAACACAUGCAAGUCGAACGGAAAGGCCCUGCUUUUGUGGGGUGCUCGAGUGGCGAACGGGUGAGUAACACGUGAGUAACCUGCCCUUGACUUUGGGAUAACUUCAGGAAACUGGGGCUAAUACCGGAUAGGAGCUCCUGCUGCAUGGUGGGGGUUGGAAAGUUUCGGCGGUUGGGGAUGGACUGGCGGCUUAUCAGCUUGUUGGUGGGGUAGUGGCUUACCAAGGCUUUGACGGGUAGCCGGCCUGAGAGGGUGACCGGCCACAUUGGGACUAAGAUACGGCCCAGACUCCUACGGGCGGCAGCAGUGGGAAAUAUUGCACAAUGGGCGGAAGCCUGAUGCAGCAACGCCGGGUGGGGGAUGACGGCCGUCGGGUUGUAAACCGCUUUCGCCUGUAACGAAGAGUGAGUGACGGUAACGGGUAAAGAAGGACCGGCUAACUACGUG